rnacentral:lncRNA from 1 species
AAAGGAAAGACAGCUGGUUACAGGAACAGAUAAGGAGAUGACUUUGCAGGUGGUUGGAGGAGAUAUCCAAGCUGAAGAAGACAGAGUACAGGGCAGCUGCCUUCCAGAGAAGACACGAGAGUGCAAGAAAGAGGUGCUAGAGCAACCAGCUCCUGCCAUGACACAGCUGCAAAUCCUCUGAUGCAAAGCCUGCCCCAUCAGAGACCAACAGCCGCUUAUCCGAGCAAGAAGGGAAGAACCCGCUCUUCAGUAAUUAAUGCAGGAACCAUCAGAUCAUAUGAGACCCCAGGCUAUGGAGGCAUAAUUUUGUAGGUAAAAAUGACCCAUAAGAGCUGCCCUGGAGCUAAAUGCAGUAAUCUUUACAGCAGGUCAGAAUGAAAGAGCAGGACAAAAGAAAUGCCUCCUCCUUGCUCCUGUUC